UCUCUCAGGGCAGGGUGCGAUUCCCUACCGGCGGUGACAGUCCGCGACUCCUUGAGGCACAGAUGCUUCAUGGACUGAAUCGGUGAAAUUCCGAUACCGACGGUAAAAGUCCGGAUGGAAGAGGGA
rnacentral:ncRNA from 1 species